rnacentral:rRNA from 1 species
UUAGAGUCGGAAUGUUUGGGAUUGCAUUCCAAAGUGGGUGGUAAACUCCAUCUAAGGCUAAAUACUGGCGAGAGACCGAUAGCGAACAAGUACCGUGAGGGAAAGUUGAAAAGCACUCUGGAGAGAGAGUCAAACAGUACGUGAAAUUGCUAGCAGGGAAACGUUGGGCACCAGUACACGGCAAUCAAUGUUAAUGAUCAGUCGGUCGAUUGGUGAAUUGUAAUGCGGCGGUUAUCCCCUUAGAGAUUGUCCUAUUAGCGGCGACUCACGUAUUACACUUUUAUUAAUCGGCCGGUGCACUCUUUAGCAGCCGGGUCAACAUCGGUUAAUGACGUUCGACAAGUCUGUAGACAAGGUAGCAUUAGUAGGUUCGCCUGCUUUUGAACUUAUAGGUCUAUAGUACGAGGAUGUUAUUGACCGAGGAUAUGCGAUUCGCGCGUUUCGGCGCAGGGCGUAUUGGUCGGGUGAAGGUCGCCCGUGGUGCUAAGCAGCUUGCUGAUUAGUAUUCAUUCUAUUACACUUUGUGUAAUAGCGGUGGUCGCCCGGCUAAUACAAGCCACUAGCGAGUCAAUGAAUGUUGACGAAAUGGUAUUCAACGACCCGUCUUGAAACACGGACCAAGGAGUCUAACAUGUCUGCGAGUGUUUGGGUGGAAAACCCUUACGCGGAAUGAAAGUAACGAGGCAAGUUUCGCGCUUGCCCGCUGGUAGGAAUCGAAGCGUUUCGGCGCGACGACGCACUACCGACCGACCUGUUACCCUCUGUGGUGGUAGGUUUGAGUUGGAGCAGUCCUGUUAGGACCCGAAAGAUGGUGAACUAUGCCUGAGCAGGAUGAAGUCAGAGGAAACUCUGAUGGAGGUCCGUAGCGGUUCUGACGUGCAAAUCGAUCGUCGGACUUGGGUAUAGGGGCGAAAGACUAAUCGA